rnacentral:rRNA from 1 species
UGGACGUUACUCGCAGAAUAAGCACCGGCUAACUCUGUGCCAGCAGCCGCGGUAAUACAGAGGGUGCAAGCGUUAAUCGGAUUUACUGGGCGUAAAGCGCGCGUAGGUGGCCAAUUAAGUCAAAUGUGAAAUCCCCGAGCUUAACUUGGGAAUUGCAUUCGAUACUGGUUGGCUAGAGUAUGGGAGAGGAUGGUAGAAUUCCAGGUGUAGCGGUGAAAUGCGUAGAGAUCUGGAGGAAUACCGAUGGCGAAGGCAGCCAUCUGGCCUAAUACUGACACUGAGGUGCGAAAGCAUGGGGAGCAAACAGGAUUAGAUACCCUGGUAGUCCAUGCCGUAAACGAUGUCUACUAGCCGUUGGGGCCUUUGAGGCUUUAGUGGCGCAGCUAACGCGAUAAGUAGACCGCCUGGGGAGUACGGUCGCAAGACUANGACUCAAAUGAAUAGACAGNGGCCCGCACGAGCGGUGGAGCAUGUGGU